rnacentral:lncRNA from 1 species
GUCUAAACAAGACUAUACUUUGUGAAUUUCGUUAAGGUUCGAAUCUCGUGACUACCGUUAAGGUUUGAUUUGGGUUAUACACAAAUACGUAUUCCAUUCUGUUAAACUAUAUGUUUAACUACCGAAAAUACUCCCCACUACACACUCGCAAACAAACAAACUAUUAAAUCAUCAGAAGAUCCAGAAUAAUAAAGUGCAUGCUUAAUUAUCGGAAGAAGUAGAAUCAAGAAGCUUGUUAACUCAAUCUUGCAUGCUUAUAAAGUGUUAAAGUACUAAAGAUGAGGGAUUUAGAAAGAUUAGAAGAAUGGUGGAAGUUGGCGAAAUCGAGAAUUGAGGAAAAGGCAAAUUGAUGAAGAAAUAAGGAGAAGAAAGUCACUCAGGACCGUAACCUACGACUCCCAGCCAUAGGUUACGGCUCCCAUCAAUUGCCAAAUAUUCCAGCCGUAAAACAGGGGCUUCCGGGCGUAAAAUUCAUUGCCAGCCGUAACCUACGGCAGGUGGCCGUAGGUUACGGCUACCUGUUGACUUUGGGGACUCGUUGACUGCCGUAAGCUACGGCUGGGAGGCGUAGCUUACGGCUCCGACUGAUCUAAAAGUGUAACUUCCUUUUUUAAUGGCCAAGUUGAGGGGAUUUAUGAGGACUUAUCAUUGCCAAUCGGUUAUGCUCCACUUGUGAACGAGUUUGGGGAGUUCUUGGAGACUUUUUGGUGUGAAGAACACUUGUUUAAUCAUUAGUUUUUGUGCUUUGAUCUUUAUGACCAAUAGAGCUUUUGUUAUGAUGUUGCUUCAAGCCAUGAGUGGCUAAACACUUGAUGAUUGUCCUAGAUUGAAGGUUUGCUUGAGACAUUUUUUAUUUGAUUUCCUAAUUUCUAGAAUAGCAAUCCUUAUCUUUAUGGUUGGUU